GAUGAACGCUAGCGGCAGGCCUAAUACAUGCAAGACGAACGGUAACUGGAGUAGCAAUACUUCGGCUAGAGUGUCGUAAGGGUGCGUAACGAGUAUGCAAUCUGCCCUAUACCGGAGGAUAGCUCCCCGAAAGGGGAAUUAACACUCCAUAAGAUAAUGGUGAGGCAUCUCACAGUUAUUAAAACUCCGGUGGUAUAGGAUGAGCAUGCUUCUGAUUAGCUAGUUGGUGGUGUGACGGACCACCAAGGCGAUGAUCAGUAGGGGAACUGAGUGGUUGAUCCCCCACACUGGCACUGAGAUACGGGCCAGACUCCUACGGGAGGCAGCAGUAGGGAAUAUUGGACAAUGGGUGCAAGCCUGAUCCAGCCAUGCCGCGUGCAGGAAGAAGGCCUUCUGGGUUGUAAACUGCUUUUGCCAGGGGAUAAAAAGCCCGUGCGCGGGAAAUUGAAGGUACCUGGUGAAUAAGCCACGGCUAACUACGUGCC
rnacentral:rRNA from 1 species